UACGUAGGGUGCGAGCGUUGUCCGGAAUUAUUGGGCGUAAAGCGCGCGCAGGCGGUCCUUUAAGUCUGAUGUGAAAGCCCACGGCUCAACCGUGGAGGGUCAUUGGAAACUGGGGGACUUGAGUACAGAAGAGAAGAGUGGAAUUCCACGUGUAGCGGUGAAAUGCGUAGAGAUGUGGAGGAACACCAGUGGCGAAGGCGACUCUUUGGUCUGUAACUGACGCUGAGGCGCGAAAGCGUGGGGAGCAAACAGG
rnacentral:rRNA from 1 species